rnacentral:rRNA from 1 species
GACGAACGCUGGCGGCGUGCUUAACACAUGCAAGUCGAACGGAAAGGCUCCAGCUUGCUGGAGUACUCGAGUGGCGAACGGGUGAGUAACACGUGGGUGAUCUGCCCUGCACUUCGGGAUAAGCCUGGGAAACUGGGUCUAAUACCGGAUAGGACCGCACUUUGGUGUGUGUGGUGGAAGGUUUUUCUGGUGUGGGAUGAGCUCGCGGCCUAUCAGUUUGUUGGUGGGGUAAUGGCCUACCAAGACGGCGACGGGUAGCCGGCCUGAGAGGGUGGACGGUCACAUUGGGACUGAGAUACGGCCCAGACUCCUACGGGAGGCAGCAGUGGGGAAUAUUGCACAAUGGGGGAAACCCUGAUGCAGCGACGCCGCGUGGGGGAGGAAGGCCUUCGGGUUGUAAACUCCUUUCGCUAGGGACGAAGCUUUUUGUGACGGUACCUGGAGAAGAAGCACCGGCUAACUACGUG